UUCUACGGGAGGCAGCAGUGGGGAAUCUUGGACAAUGGGGGAAACCCUGAUCCAGCAAUGCCGCGUGGGUGAAGAAGGCCUUCGGGUUGUAAAGCCCUUUUAGCGGGGAAGAAAUCGGCUAGGUGAAUAAUCUAGCUGGAUGACGGUACUGCAG
rnacentral:rRNA from 1 species